CACCACUCCGUAACAUCCCUAAAAAAACACUCCGGAACAUCUUGCUAAAAAUAAAACACUCCAUAACAUUUAUUUCUCCAAGUAAAACAGCCCAUACAGUUCUCUCGUCAUCUCGUUCGAUACCUCCACCAGCUCUCAUCUGGUUCGAUCCCCACCAGGCUCAUCCAAAUGCGUCAUUUCUCCUGAUUUGCUGCUGGCGAAGGAAGAUGUCGUUGGUACCAGCAGGAAACUAAUUCCUAGCCUAUUCUCUAGCAUGUGGAUCGAGUCUGCCGGCGCGGCCACGGGGAGGGCAAGGGAGAACGUGGCGUGCUACUCAACCUCGUCAUGGCCGGCAGCGAGCUGUCAUAGCUGAGGUGCUGGAUGUGGGUGGAUGCGUUGAUGGAGCUUACGGAGAAGGCUGCACCAAUUUGUGAAUUUCCCAUGCGAACACAUGCAACGGAGAAUGGUUGGAUCUAAAGGCACUAUGGAUGGCACCGUGGCUAUGGUCCAUGAGAUCUAUGGGGUAAUGUAGGCAAGUCUUACACCGCGGACUGCUCAGCACGGUGGUUCUCUUAUUAGCCCAGGCUGUGGACAAGAGAUAGUCAGAAUGGCGACAUCAGGCUAAUCUAGCCGUAUGUGGAACACUAGAGAGCAUGCGAUCGGCGUUUAUCAUGUUUUGCUAUUAAUAAGUUUAUGAAGCAAGUCAGAAUGGCGACACGGGGCAAAUCUAGCCUUAUAUGGAACACUGGAGAGCCUGCUGAUCAACUUGUAUCAUGUUUUGCUAUUAAGCUUAUGAAGCAAGGUGUAUAUGUGCUGAAUGUCCAGCCUUUUGACGAACGCGCUGGUAAUGGUGAACUAAUAUAUGUUCAGGUAAUUGUUACUUAGCAAAAAUAGUAGUAAAGUAUAUAUAAAAAUAUAAAGAAAGUAUUGAAUCUUUUCUAUAUUAAGGACAUAGUGCUAAUAUCACAUGCUAUCAAGUAAUCUUAUUAUAUAUUUAUAUUGCAUAUUUUUGAUUCCAAAACUUUAAAAUUGCAGAACAUACAAUUCAAAAAAGUGUAUGUCUGAAUGUAUUUCAAAAUUUAGAACAUGACAUGGUUUUGAUAGUGCUGACAGACACUAUCUCAGUAUAUUAUUUUUUUAUCUAAUAGGUGUCGUUGUUGGUAGAUGUUAAGUAUGCUUUCUCUAUCUCAGUAAAUAAAAUAGUCCUUAGAUUCACUGGAUAAGCUACUAAUCAAUAUCUUUUAGAUAUGAUUCAUUAGUUCAUAAGUAAUAAAGGAUGCAAUCUCAUACUUGUCAAGAAGUUCCCGAGUUUCAGAUAUUCUAGAUUUGUAUAUAUUCUUGUGGCACUGGUUCACUUUAGGUACAACCAUAGUUAGACAAUGAUAAAUAUAUUAGAUAUUAUUACUAAUUAAAAAGAAGAGCUUGUAACGUUACUUGACUUACCGCUGAACUUUUGUACUAUUAUGGAGGUUACAGUAAGGAUUAUUACCCCUAAAGAGUAUAAGCAGAAAAGUUUAAUGCUUACAGCAAUGGUUGAAGUCCAAUUAAUAUUUGAAGAAUGGGUAUGCAUACAAAGUAUAGACAUAACUGAGCAUUGUUUAUCUUUCUCGGUCCAUUCUUGUAAUAUGUCUUUGCCAGCAAUAUCGAAGUAGUAAUGUGGAUAACCUUGUGCUGAUUAUUUCAGCUUUCAAAUUGUCAAAUGCAUAAAUAGAUUUCUCAUUUAUCUUCUAUUUCUAUGUGUAUCAGAUUCUCCCAGACAUUAGCAUGAAUUGUGUUUCCCUAUAAGCACAACAAAAAUAUACUUACUGACUGUAUGCUCUUUCGGGUAGAGGCACCACUAAUGUAAUCUUUGUCCAGAGGAAGGACUUCCACAGAAAAACAAAAGUUGUUUUAGUUCUAAAAUGAUGGAACAAUCUGCAAUUAAAUAUCUUAUGGAAUAACCCUUCAUCCAUCUAGAUCAUAUUGAGGCUCAUAAGCUCGUCGACUAUAGAUUUGAUUCCCACAUUCUCAUUAGUUUCACUUCAAUGUUCCAGUUUUUCUUCCAUGUUGUGAAGUCGCCACGCUUCUUGUAUGCCAUUGUUUUCUCUGCCAGAAGGCUAGAACUUUCUUAGUCAAUAUUCCUAUGAAGAAUGUAUCCAGAAUAAUAACUACGCACCUUUAUGAUUCAGGUAACUCAGAAGGAUGGUUGGGCAUGACUUUGUCGAGUGUCAAGCAAAAAAGUAAGAUUGCUAAAUAACAAUUACUAAAUCUGAUGAUUCAGGGGAAAAGUGCUUUGGCGCCACUUGUUCCGACGUCAAUUGGAGCAGUUAGUUGUGGCUUCGUCGGGCGUCGAGCAUGCUUCGACAUGACUUUGUCAGACAUCGAGCAAAGUUGCGCUGCCUGCUAUAGAAUCUUCUUUUAUUAAUGGUGUGCUUAGCUGGGCAACAGAUUUGGCUAGCUUCAAUAUUGGAUGUGUGCUGGUCAUGGCCAAGAUUUGGUUCGCUUCAAAUUUUUUUUGAGAAGCUCAAAGGUUGGGCAUGACUUCGUCCGGCGCCGGCACCAAGUUGCAUGCGAAACUUUAGUUUUUCCUGGCUUCGAUCUUUGUUGGGCAUACUAUCGACUGAGUUUGAAUUUUGUGGUUGUGUUUUGGUCGCAUAGUUCAGGCUGGCUUGUACUUUCUUGGGUGUGUGCUAGUUUGGCCGGCUAGAUGUGUUUAGUUUUCCA